CUGACAACCCCUAGAGAUAGGGCUUCUCCUUCGGGAGCAGAGUGACAGGGUGGUGCAUGGGUGUCGUCAGCUCGUGUCGUGAGAUGUUGAGUUAAGUCCCGCAACGAGCGCAACCCUUGAUCUUAGUUGCCAUCAUUAAGUUGGGCACUCUAAGGUGACUGCCGGUGACAAACCGGAGGAAGGUGGGGAUGACGUCAAAUCAUCAUGCCCCUUAUGACCUGGGCUACACACGUGCUACAAUGGACGGUACAAAGAGCUGCAAGACCGCGAGGUGGAGCUAAUCUCAUAAAACCGUUCUCAGUUCGGAUUGUAGGCUGCAACUCGCCUACAUGAAGCUGGAAUCGCUAGUAAUCGCGGAUCAGCAUGCCGCGGUGAAUACGUUCCCGGGCCUUGUACACACCGCCCGUCACACCACGAGAGUUUGUAACACCCGAAGUCGGUGGGGUAACCUUUUGGAGCCAGCCGCCUAAGGUGGGACAGAGAUGGGGGAAGUCGUAACAAGGUAACCUA
rnacentral:rRNA from 1 species